UACGGAGGGUGCAAGCGUUAUCCGGAUUCACUGGGUUUAAAGGGUGCGUAGGCGGACAGGUAAGUCAGUGGUGAAAUCUCUGGGCUUAACCCAGAAACUGCCGUUGAUACUAUUUGUCUUGAAUAUCCUGGAGGUAGGCGGAAUAUGUCAUGUAGCGGUGAAAUGCUUAGAUAUGACAUAGAACACCGAUAGCGAAGGCAGCUCACUACACAAUCAUUGACGCUGAGGCACGAAAGCGUGGGGAUCAAACAGG
rnacentral:rRNA from 1 species